GGGCGGCAUUGCGCACCGCGGCGGCGUAGCCAUCGUUGGCGCCGGUGGGCGCCAGCGCGGCGCUCAGCGUGCUGACCGUCAG
rnacentral:tRNA from 1 species